CACGUAGUUAGCCGUGGCUUAUUCAAGGGGUACCGUCUUCUGCUCUUCCCCCUUAAAGAAGUUUACAACCCGAAAGCCUUCUUCCUUCACGCGGCGUUGCUGGGUCAGACUUGCGUCCAUUGCCCAAUAUUCCCCACCUGCUGCCUCCCGUAGGAGUCUGGGCCGUAUCUCAGUCCCAAUGUGGCCGGUCAACCUCUCAGUCCGGCUACUGAUCGUCGCCUUGGUGGGCCGUUACCUCACCAACUAGCUAAUCAGACGCGAGGCCAUCUUUCAGCGAUAAAUCUUUGGUAUCAGUACCAUGCGAUUCCGAUACAUCAUGCGGUAUUAGCAGUCGUUUCCAACUGUUGUCCCCCUCUGAAAGGCAGGUUCCUCACGCGUUACUCACCAGUCCGCCACUAAGCAUUCCCUUCCGUUGUCCGAAAACUCCUUCAGGGGUGCUCCGUUCGACUUGCAUGUGUUAAGCACGCCGCCAGCGUUCGUCCUGAGCCAGGAUCAAACUCU
rnacentral:rRNA from 1 species